rnacentral:rRNA from 1 species
UACGGAGGGGGCUAGCGUUGUCCGGAAUUACUGGGCGUAAAGCGCACGUAGGCGGAUCAGCAAGUCAGGGGUGAAAUCCCGGGGCUCAACCCCGGAACUGCCUUUAAAACUGUUGGUCUGGAGGUCGGGAGAGGUGAGUGGAAUUCCGAGUGUAGAGGUGAAAUUCGUAGAUAUUCGGAGGAACACCAGUGGCGAAGGCGGCUCACUGGCUCGAUACUGACGCUGAGGUGCGAAAGCGUGGGGAGCAAACAGG